AUGCUGUCAUUUAACCAUGUAAUAUACCAGAAGCUAUGCCUACAUCAUACUACUGACACUUUAGUCCUUUCUACACCCCACCCUUUGGUAUGAUUUUGAGUGCAAGGCGAGAGCGAGCCCACCAAAAGUCCUCCACACGAAAACCUUCAUUAAAGCCGCAAAAGCGUCAAACAAUUUUUUGCCAUUAUAGUUUGUAAGAGCAAAUUUCAGCACACAUACAUUGAAUGAAUGUGUACGGUCCGUGUGAAGAACAUCAAGAAUUAAAAUGAAAAUAUAUCACAAAAAAGUUGGUAAAACAAAACAUUGACAUCCCAAACAUUAAACGCCACUAACAUGAGGAAUGACAAGCGCUAUGGCAGUCGGCCCACUUAAACACACUUGUAAUUUAUUUGUGUAUGCACAUAUUUAAGUAGUCAAAGCCAGGCAAGCGAAUGCAAGUGUGUGUUUGUCGGUGUGCCAUGAAAAGUGGCGCGUUUAAAGCCGCUCGCUCACUGGUCUGUUAUCCUGUCGGCCUUUCGUUUGUCAGGCCGUCGCUUGUCGCCUGUCGCGCCUGCCACUACUUCUCACAUUUUACACAACCGAAAAAAUCACAAAAAGCUGAAUGACAUAUAUAAACAUUCAUGUAUAUACGUAUGUAUGUACGUAUGUGUGUGACUGUAAAUAUUGUAAAGUGUCAAACAGGAUGCACAGUGGCUCGCCUGUGCUGCCAGCCGCCACGAGUAGUGUGUGCGAACGAUGCUGGCCAAAACCCGCAAACACUGAGUAUACGUAUAUGUAGCAGUACUGUAGUCAUUGAACUGUCGCUCUGGCGAUGUGGAAGAGGGGAGGUUUUAAAAAUGGGAGCACUUUAUUAUUAUUAAAGUGCCGCCUAAUUAAUUUUGCUAUAAUAAAAAAUGAUUUAUAGCUGGAAGCAUUUAUAUUUCAAAAAUCCUGGGACCUGGGAUAUAACCUUUAACCUCUUACAAAUCCAAUCGUAAAAUUACAAAUCUAAUCUUAAUUGUGAUGUUCAAGAAUAUUAUACCUCCGAAAUCUGAAAUCCGAAAUGAAAACUUCAGGAAUCCUGUUUAACAGAAAACCUCCUGAAAGCUUUAUGUCACGAAACGCAAGUUAUAACAUCAAGCUUCAAAGUAUACUCCUCGAAGUAAUUAUUUCUACUUCCUGAUAUCUGAUGAAACUCUUAAUCUUCAGCUUACUCUAUGAAGAAUCCUUAAUGAAGAACUGGAUAUGGAAAACAAUAAAAUGUUUAGUUAUGUCUGCUGGCCAUAAUCCGACAAAGUGAUAAUGGCCUCGACAAGUCUAGGUCUCUAAGCUAAAAUAGUCUUUGCGAAGCUCCAGAGAUGGAAAAAGUAGAUGGAUCAUGAGACGCCCAGAACACUUAACAAAGCUAUUUUGUCGACAGGGGGAUGAUUGAGUCGGAGCAGAUAUUUCCUUCAGACUUUUUAAAUGGCGGUCUACCUAAUGGUUUAGUGAAUACCAAGUAAGUGGGCGCAAAUGAGGACGUGUAUAUCAACUUCAUACCAAUCCAAAAUAUACCGAAUACCAAAAAAGAGAUAGUUAGAUGGUUUUUUCUUUAACUUUUAGCGAAACACUUGGCGGUUUUUUUAGGAUUAAACUUUUUGUAAUAGAAAUUAUACCAUGUUCUUGAGAUCAGAGUAAUAUAAAGAGCGAGCGUAGCUGUUCCACAUAAAAUAGAUCGUACUAAGACCGACCGCUUGAGCUACAGAACGGAAUACACUCGAAGUUAAAGGACUAUUCAACAGUUACUAUUUAUUAGUGUGAGACCGAUUUCUAAUUUUUUGCAUCGCGAUGCCAAAACAGGUGAUCGAAUUCUAAUAACAAGUAGAUAGCAGAUACCGUAGACCACAGAUUAACCACAUAACUCAGUAGAUUAUUGUUUUUAAAAUCGAUAGAAGACGCCAGAAGAGUAAACAGCAUGCAUUUCAAUUCUUAAAAGUAAAGAGGAAAGUUAUAGAUAUUAUAUUUAGUCUGUCCUCAUUACGACGAGAUGUAAAAUAAACUAUCAUCCGACUUUUAUUUUAUAUCUAGCCUCAGUAAAGACCAUUUUGUAAGUCAUUUAAUAUUAAUAUCAGCCAUAAAACAGCACAAGUAUAUACAAUGCAUUUAUACCCAAUUUGUCAUGUCCAGCAUGCCUCUAGGCAUAAACUCACACCAAAAGAUAAAAUAUAUAUAAGUUUACGUGGUCAUUUGUUUGCAGGGCCAUAAAAAAAACGACACUAAAAAAUUAAAAAUAUGAAAGAAGAGGAAAAAUAAAUAUUUAAAAUUACAACAAAAGCAAUCCUAUGGAUAGUGCAACCACAGCAAUGAACACAAUAUAACAUAUAAAGAGAAAGAAGUAUGCCGCACCAGCGUUUUACCCCGAGCAAAGUAGAACUGAGCCACCAUUCCGUUCCGUUGUUGGUCCAACAACAUACAACAUUCAACAUCGCGCAUCGAGCAAUAACCCGCUAUUGUACUUCAGAGCUCGCAUACUAAAGAGUCGCUGAUGCAGACAGCCUGUCGGCAUAUUAUGCUGUCAAUCUUAUUUUCAUUAUUUUUAUGGCCGUGUUGUGGCACAAAAAACCAGAAAUGAACACAAAAACAAAAAAAAGACAAGAACAACUAUAAACCCGCCAAAGUAUGGAUCAGUGAGUUUUCAGUGUUGUUGUUUCAAAAUGUCGCUGAAAUAUUUCAGCUGAGCGAUGGUUUCGGGAAAUUGGUGAAUAUGUGCAUAAAUCUGUAGGAAACUUGUGUCUAUGUAUAUGUGCAUGAAUUUUUUAACGGCGAAUGAAAUAAGUGCCGCGAAUGGUGAAUCAUAACAACAAAAGCAGAUGUAAUAGUAAGCAAAUACAAAGAAUUAAAUACAUUUGUAUAAAAUCAUUGGCCAAACAAGUCCGACUCAGUCUGGUGAGGUUGAUGAGGUUAAAAUAACAGACAGACAGAAACUACACCAAAACCAAGUUGGACCAAUCAUUCUAAAGGGGAAGGGAGAGCCACCCCAAAUGAAUUUGAACAAUUCGUCGGGUAAUAAGAAUAUGAGCGACCAAUUUUUGAGCCUGCAGCAAAACCGCCUUUAUUAAUCCUCAAUAACACCUCGACGAAAAGAAAAAUUAAACGACGUGAACCGUUAUUUGCAUCUACCAACUUUUUGUAGUUCUCUAGCUCCAAACUGUAUGAUAGGUCGUUGCUUCACUGGCAAAGAACCGUUUGUUAGCAGUAGAAUAAAUAGAUGUAGAAAGAACAGGGGGGUUGGAAAAAGUGAGACGGUGAAAGCUCGUUUGUUCUUUUCUAACACAUCGACUACGACAGAUUCCUCUAGGCCGUACAGCUAUCUUAAAGUAAUAUUUCGGUGACGCUUUAAGACUGAUAUUAGGCAGUUAGGACUGAGGAUCUUUAACUUCGAAGAUUAACACACGGUGUAAGGCCUUUCGGACACAUGUCAUGCCCUCAAUCUCUCUGUACUCUAUUGUCAACGGAUUCCAUCUUCAAGAUGUCAGGAAAUCUAAUACAGAACUGAUCUUCAGGAUACCUCAGAAGGCCUUUCAUCCCAUGACUUCGUUGAUGAAACCCUUGGACGAUAAUAAAUCAAUCUUACUCAGUAGUGCAAUCACGGAAGUGAACUUCAGUAACAGUACACGAUGCACUGCUAGUCAAUGAUGGUGUUGCAUGCAACAGCAAGUUACAACGCCUCUGAUGACAAAAGAGAAAUUGCAUGAGGACAUAUUAAAAAAUAAAUUCACAGUCAACACACACAUGCGCAAUUGCAUAUGAAUGGAGGCAAACGAGUCGGCGACAGACCACCGAAAAAAAAGGUGGCGACAAUAUGUGGCACAUUCUCAUGUGUAGGAAUUUAAUAUCUGUGUUUGUAUGUAUGUGUAUAUGAAGAUAACUCGACAAUGGAAUGCAUACAAAGACGAACACAUAUUCAUGCACUGCCGCGUUUUUUCAAUGGUGGACAUAUGAGAGAACCGCAUGGCAUACAAAAGUCAACUUUUUCUAUGUUUCUGUGUUUUAAUCUGUGUGUUUGUAUGCGGUUAACGAAGUAGCAGCACUUAAAUAAAUUAAAAGAAUUACAUUUUUUUCUCAAAUAUUUUAAGCACUCAAAUGUGGAGAGUAAGGUUUCCUAAAAAUGCAUAAAAGCAUGCAAGCUACUAAUUAUUAGACAUCAGGGAAGAAAGGUAUAGAAUUUCAAGCAAACCACAGAAAAAACUUUGAAAUAACCGUAAAAAGCAAAGCAAAAAUCUUUUGUCAAAUAAUCUGUAGUGCGAGAAGAGCUCAGCUCAGAUAAUUACAAAAGAGAAUUUGCUGUCAUCCAAACUAAGUACAUCACUUAUGUAUGUUCGUCAGUAAAAAUACUUAAAGCAAACAUUUGAGAAUAACAAUGGAAAGAGUGUAACGUAUGUAGUUAUGUACAUACAUAUUCCUUAAAGCUUAU